CAGUCGCCACGGGAAUACGAAGGGUGCAAGCGUUACUCGGAAUUACUGGGCGUAAAGCGUGCGUAGGUGGUGGUUUAAGUCCGUUGUGAAAGCCCUGGGCUCAAUCCGGGAAUUGCAGUGGAUACUGGGUCACUAGAGUGUGGUAGAGGAUAGUGGAAUUUCCGGUGUAGCAGUGAAAUGCGUAGAGAUCGGAAGGAACAUCUGUGGCGAAGGCGACUAUCUGGGCCAACACUGACACUGAGGCACGAAAGCGUGGGGAGCAAACAGGAUUAGAUACCCCUGUAGUCCCUGUCUCUUAUAA
rnacentral:rRNA from 1 species